UGAGGUCUCCCAGCUUCAGCAUGGGCAGGAGAAACAGGGUGCCCCUAACUUCUGCCUUGGGGAACUGCUGGAGGGCCAAUGGAGUAGUUAGCACCAGGGGCAUCUAAGAGCCACCACUGUCUGUUCCACCUACUACCCGACCACCAACUACCAUCGCCUCAGAGUGACGGCGGACGUAAGAGCACUGCGAUGCACGGCUUACCUGUAUUACCGCACCACAGAUUUGACCCGGCUUCGUGAGUCCUGUGACGAUGCUGAUUUCUUCUUAGUAACUGCGUAGUAAAAUGUCUGACAUUUAUAAUCCUACUCCUUGUUAACUGAAUGAUUUCCUGUCACCUUUGCAUCUACCUGAAGGAUAAACUAGGCACAGCAAAGGACAAAGAAAAAUCAAGACGAACUUGUGGCCAAUUGC
rnacentral:lncRNA from 1 species